ACACUGCUGGUUCUGCUGUUGUUGCUGGUUCUGCUGGACUGAAGAUUGGGAUGGGUAAGAAAAGCGAAAGGGAAUGGGAAGUGCUGGUGUGGUAUUAUGGUUUUUGUCUUUCCUCAGUUUCUGCUGUUGGACUAAAGUUUGGAAUGGGUAAAGGGAGAGACUGUAAAGGGAAGGGAUGCAAAGAUUAGAUUGUGGCAGUGUGGUGUGUUGUAGUGUGGUAUUAUGUGUCCAUCCUGAUCUCUGUUGUUGGUUUAGCUGUUAACUAUUUGGUUGGAUAAGGGAAGGGAAAGGGUAUAUGAGGAUUGGUAGGUGUUAAUGUAAUGUGGUGUGGUGUGGUAUAAUGUGUCCCUCCUGAUCUCUGCUGUUGGUUCUGUUAAAGUUAAAGAUUCGGUUGGAUAAGGAAAGAGAAAUGGGAUAUGAGUAUUUGUAGGUGUUAGUGUGGUGUGGUGUGGUAUAAUGUGUCCCUCCUGAUCUCUGCUGUUGGUUCUGUUAAAGUUAAAGAUUCGGUUGGAUAAGGAAAGAGAAAGGAGAUAUGAGUAUUUGCAGGUGUUAGUGUGGUGUGGUGUGGUAUAAUGAGUCUCUCCUGAUGGAUAAGGGAAUUGAAGGGGGAUUUGAGGAUUAGCUGAUGUUAGUGUUGCGUGUUUAGGCAGAUCUCAUGUAUACUUUAUCUUCUUCCUGGUGAUGAUUUUGCUAUUGGACUAAAGAUUGAUAUUAAAAGGGGAAGGAAAGGGAGAAAGAUGAGCUGAUGUGGUAUACGUAUGUUAGCUUUUUCUCGUAUACUCAACCCUUUAUUGUUUUCUUUUGCUGGUUUUGCUGUAGUCUAAAGGUAGAAUGAAUAAGAGAAAUAAGAGAAAGAAAAAUGAGGGUACGCCAAUGAGAUGUAAUAAAGAUACUGGAUGUUUUUGGCAAAUAAUGAUUGAAACUAAGAUGAAGUUAUCGCCAGAAGAGAAGUUAACGUCGCAGCUGCCCACUUGAUGGUGUCACGAUAAGCAGGUCAGAGACAAAUGAAUGAAGAUGUUGCCAUUUAAAUAGAUAAUUUCUUCGGAUCGUCAAUGGAAUAGUUUUUAUUUAGUACGCUGUGAAGCCACGCUUGUUCUUGCUGCAGCUGCUGGAGAUAAAGAUGGAACAAAGUAGCAAAUGAAAGAGACAAACGCAUGUGUGUGUACAUUUUUGCAGCUGUUUACUUUCUGAAUCACUUACAAUUCUGGAGACAUGAAGUGUAUACAUUUGAUACGUUUUUGUUGUAUAAAUGUAACUAUUAUUCACUAUAAAGAAAAGUGUCAAAAACAAACAAAAACAAAACAGAAUUAGGAAUUAUUACAGUUCUAAACAUACACGUUAGUUGGUUAGUUAAGUAUAAA